GGGACUAUAGCUCAGUGGCAUAAGCAUCUGCUUGGCAAGCACAAGGUCCUGAGUUCAAUUCCCAGUACCA
rnacentral:tRNA from 1 species